AUGCCAUGAUGAAGGCAUUUUCUUAGUAACUCAUUGAACUGCUCCCAUGCUUCAUAUAAUGACUCUUCAUCUAGUUGUUGGAAAGAUGUGAUCUCAUUUCGAAGCUU